rnacentral:lncRNA from 1 species
CCCGAAACUGGCGUCCCCCCACACUUCCCUGGAGAUGCUGUUGCUGCCGGUCUGGGGGCCACCCUUGAAGAACUGCCGCUUUAUUCUAUACACAACAGAGGAACUUGUUCUCACUGGCGCUAACAGAAAAACAGCUUUAUAAACCAUUGCUGUAUGCUGUUGAACAAAGAUGCCCGAUUCAUGCUUUAAAAGGAGGCUCCUGGAAGAACAGCCUGAAGACACUGUCUCAGAUCAAAAGCAGCCUCAAAAGGACAUCUUUUUCAAAUUCAAUUACUGACUCUGGGGACUUACAUGGAGGAGUUAUGGUUAUGAAGAAGAAAAGAUCAACCACUUGGAUCUGAAGAUGUUUACAGCAUUAAGAUAGAUGGAUUAUACAAGGUCGGAUCCUAAUAUUUUCUCUUCUGAUGAGACAAUUUAAAAAGAUAAGUGCCGAUUUUUACUUUCAGAGUCAUCAGCUCUGUAUUUUUCCCCUUGUCUCCUGACAUUCUCUUGGAUUUGUGGUGUUAAUUACAUUCCACUAACCUUGGCUUCUAGAAUGCCAAGACUCUUAGCUGCUAAGAUCCACAAAUAACAUCAAUUAGAUAAAUGGGGCGUUUCCACUCUCUCAUGCAACCCUGUUGGAUCUGCAAGUGCAGCGCUAAUAACUCCUAGGAUUCUGCUGCAUGGUCCUGACUUCAAAUAUUUUGAGAAUGAAUGUAAAUUAGAGUAUUUUGACUUUUAGUUUGAAUAAUAUAAUCACUAUACAUAUAUGAAAUAUUAAAACUUUGAAAUAAAAAUUGUUCUCAUUUUGAAACUCCA